rnacentral:rRNA from 1 species
GCAAAACGCGAAGAACCUUACCCACCUUUGACAUGUACGGAAUCCUUUAGAGAUAGAGGAGUGCUCGAAAGAGAGCCGUAACACAGGUGCUGCAUGGCUGUCGUCAGCUCGUGUCGUGAGAUGUUGGGUUAAGUCCCGCAACGAGCGCAACCCUUGCCAUUAGUUGCUACAUUUAGUUGAGCACUCUAAUGGGACUGCCGGUGACAAACCGGAGGAAGGUGGGGAUGACGUCAAGUCCUCAUGGCCCUUAUAGGUGGGGCUACACACGUCAUACAAUGGCUGGUACAAAGGGUUGCCAACCCGCGAGGGGGAGCUAAUCCCAUGAAGCCAGUCGUAGUCCGGAUCGCAGUCUGCAACUCGACUGCGUGAAGUCGGAAUCGCUAGUAAUCGUGGAUCAGAAUGUCACGGUGAAUACGUUCCCGGGUCUUGUACACACCG